rnacentral:rRNA from 1 species
UAUCUCUGUAGAGUCUGCAUAUCAAUAAGCGGAGGAAAAGAAACUAACUAGGAUUCCCUCUAGUAACGGCGAGUGAAGCGGGAAGAGCUCAAAUUUGAAAUCUUCAAGGUUUUACCUUGACGAAUUGUAGUUUAAAGAAGUGUUUUCUGUUGGUAGUUUCGGCUAAAAGUUCUUUGGAAUAGGACAUCAUAGAGGGUGAGAAUCCCGUAUUUGACCAGUUAUUUCAGCUGUGUGAUACACUUUCAAAGAGUCGGAUUGUUUGGGAAUGCAGUCCAAAAUGGGUGGUAAAUUUCAUCUAAAGCUAAAUAUUGGCGAGAGACCGAUAGCGAACAAGUACCGUGAGGGAAAGAUGAAAAGAACUUUGAAAAGAGAGUUAAACAGUACGUGAAAUUGUCAAAAGGGAAGCGUUUGACACCAGUGUUGUUUUCUCGAAAAUCAAUUAAAAAAAGUUGGAUUUUGUAUUGUUAAGACCUUAUCAGCUUACUGUACUCUUUUCUUGCUUUUUUUAAUGCACUUUUCGUUUAACAAGUCAACAUCAAUUUCUUUUGUUGUAAAAAGGUCAUUGGAAGGUGGCUUUCUUUUCGGAGAAAGUGUUUAUAGCCUUUGACUUCUGCAAUCGGAGAGACUGAGGUCUGCAGCGUAGAUCCUUCUGGAUUAGAUUCAUUUGUGCUAAGUUACAACCGUUUAUAGACAACUUGUUGACUAUAUUCGAUCCUGUAGCUUACUCGCUUAUGUAAUUUUACCUACGCUUAGGAUGUUGAUCUGUAGUGCGUGCGC